rnacentral:misc_RNA from 1 species
ACCGAAAGCUUAGGAAAAAAGAAGAUGGACUCUCAUUUCCCAAAUUUAUUUUAAUACAAAUGGGAUUAUUGUUACACAAACUCAACUUUUUUCCUAAGCUUUCGGUCUCUCACCAUUUUAUACAUAUUAAUAAAUAUAUACAUAAAACUCGGCAAACCAUCUAACUGAAACAAAAAGCACCUGCCUGGACGCUACUUCUCCUAAACUAGGAUGACUUUAUCUCCUAUGCUCUUCCUCUCAACAUGGCUGCAGUGAGAACCGAUUCUUACAAACGAGGCUUGUGAAUCAAAUAGGACUCUUUAAUAUACAUAGCUGGUCAGUCAAACAAGAACGAUCUGGCUUGCACCACUAGGAACAAUUUACAAGUUUGCAAGCUGCCAAUUAUGAGCUCUCUUGGAAUUUGAGUGACCGAGACAAUGCUGCAGGAUUGGCUUGUAAUA